GGGAAUGUAGCUCAGUGGUGCAGUGUCUGCCUGGCAAGCAGGAGUCCCCGAGUUUGAUUCCUGGUACCCCCC
rnacentral:tRNA from 1 species